CUUUCUUUUCUCAGAGUCGACUGGAAACUUACACCAUGGCGUGAUUAGACCGGUUAAAACUACGCGCAGACAUGAAGACACGCCUUUAAUCCCAGCAAUCAGGAGCACAUCAGCAGGACGGCAAGCAGUAACCAGGCCAUGCUACCCAGAAGAAAGGAAGCCACCCCAGCCUGCUUCUGGGCAAUCAAGAGCAAGAGCGCCCACACCUCACCCUGUCUGAGGAAGAGGUGCUUCAGCAGGUCUUCUGUGGACAUUUCACUCGACUGUAGAGUGUACGAAGUAAAUGCAAAUGAAGACGCACACGGUUACACCAGCAAAGAACACACUGUGCUCUGGGGAGAAGGGCAGAUUCGCUUCGUCUGCCGUGGUUCCAGGACACUCUUCAGAAGCGCCUGUUCACACGCUCACCCUGAAUACACGAGACUCUUCCUGACACCACCAUGGAAGCGGGCUCCCUAGAAGUCUAUAAAAUAUGAAUGGACCCAUGACCCAGAAACAACAUCUCAUGGUACACUUUUGUGGACACUUAAAAGAAGCAGUGCAGAGCUCCAAAAAUACUUCUUUCUCACUCAGGCAGGCACACCCUCACUGAGAGGGCGUCUCUCCUGUCACUUACAUGCAUAUGCAGACUGGGCCCUUUCUGGAAUGGAACCUGGCCCUCCAGCUCCUGCAGAGGCCCUUGGAGCCAAGGAGGCCCCGCAUGGGGAGAGCUAUGAGAUUCGUCAGGCCUGCGGCUUUUGUUUCUAAAACAUGCAGUGAGCAGCAUACACUGGCGUCCACAGGACCCCUGGCAGGCGCUCACUCAUAGCCCACCGGGAUGGUGACAAGCAAGAGGCCUUCACUGACAGGCCAGGGCACAGCCCGGACUGUGAUGCAUGCUGGUCCAGAGUUCAGCGGGACAUAGUGUCGCAGGGAACAUGUGGCAACCUCUAAAAUGCUCUAAGGUCCAGUCUGUGUCCAGUGAGGCUGCACCAUGCACAGACUAAGGCACUAAAGCUGCAGCAGGUGAGCAGACACCCCCUCAGAGGCCCCUGGGCUGCAUCCCGGGGAGAAGGCGCUCUGUUCCCAGUACCAUCCAAGGCCAGAAACCGCUCAAAGGAUCAGAUCACGCCAUAACAAAUCCCUGGUCCCAGCCCUUCAGAGAAGUGCUGGGCUCUCCCUCUCAGUCGCUUGCGCCAGCUUCCCAAGGUCUCCACAGCACUGUGGGCAGCUCAGCUGCUCUUCCACAGCCGCCAUCUCUUCACACUCUUCCUGCACAUCUGUCCCCCAGCAUGCCUUGACAAGGAGCAGUCCAGUUCUCUCUCUUUCCUCUGGAGCAGGACCCCGUACAUUUCCCAAGGUGGCUCUGUGCCUUCCGGUGCUUCACAGCUUGACGAACGCAGCCGGCUGCUGCGGCACCUGCUCCGUGUCCGGGGGUGGGAAGACACUGGAUAUGGCUAUGUCCACGAUGCCCUGGCACAGUUCUGCAUAGAGUUUCCUGAAAUAAGUUGUUAAAGAUGUCACUGAGGCUGUUCAUCAAAGCUGGGUAUGGUGUGUGUGUGUGUGUGUGUGUGUAUUUCAGUGACGAUCUGCCCUAGAAAUUCCUCUUUUGAAAAACUCGUCUCUGUGAAUAAAGUACCCACAAGAGGCUCUGCACACAGAUAAA
rnacentral:lncRNA from 1 species